UUCCUACGGGGGGCAGCAGUGGGGGAUAUUGCACAAUGGGGGGAACCCUGAUGCAGCGACGCCGCGUGGGUGAAGAAGCGCCUCGGCGCGUAAAGCCCUGUCAGCAGGGAAGAAAAUGACGGUACCUGAAGAAGAAGCCCGGCUAACUACGUGCCAGCAGCCGCGGUAAUACGUAGGGAGCGAGCGUUGUCCGGAAUUACUGGGUGUAAAGGGAGCGUAGGCGGGCGAGAAAGUUGAAUGUUAAAUCUACCGGCUUAACUGGUAGCUGCGUUCAAAACUUCUUGUCUUGAGUGAAGUAGAGGCAG
rnacentral:rRNA from 1 species